UACGGAGGGGGCGAGCGUUAUUCGGAAUUAUUGGGCGUAAAGGGCGCGUAGGCGGCUUGAUGUGUCAAAGGUGAAAUCCCUCGGCUCAACUGAGGAACUGCCUUUGAAACUGUCUGGCUUGAGGCCGGGAGAGGGUAGCGGAAUUCCCAGUGUAGCGGUGAAAUGCGUAGAUACUGGGAGGAACACCGGUGGCGAAGGCGGCUACCUGGACCAACACUGACACUGAGGAGCGAAAGCCAGGGGAGCAAACGGG
rnacentral:rRNA from 1 species